CGGGGUGCAACAGGCGCGAAACCUCUGCAAUAGGCGAAAGCCUGACAGGGUUAUUCUGAGUGACUUUCGCUAAGAAAGUCUUUUGACAUCUCUAAAAAUGGUGUAGAAUAAGGGGUGGGCAAGUCUGGUGUCAGCCGCCGCGGUAAUACCAGCACCCCGAGUGGUCGGGACGAUUAUUGGGCCUAAAGCAUCCGUAGCCGGUUUUACAAGUCCUCCGUUAAAUCCAACUGCUUAACAGAUGGGCCGCGGAGGAUACUAUAAGACUAGGAGGCAGGAGAGGCAAGCGGUACUCAGUGGGUAGGGGUAAAAUCCGUUGAUCCAUUGAAGACCGCCAGUGGCGAAGGCGGCUUGCCAGAAUGCGCUCGACGGUGAGGGAUGAAAGCUGGGGGAGCAAACCGGAUUAGAUACCCGGGUAGUCCCAGCUGUAAACGAUGCAGACUCGGUGAUGGACUAGCUUAAUGCUAGUCCAGUGCCGCAGGGAAGCCGUUAAGUCUGCCGCCUGGGUAGUACGGUCGCAAGACUGAAACUUAAAGGAAUUGGCGGGGGAGCA
rnacentral:rRNA from 1 species